CGUAGGGUGCAAGCGUUAUCCGGAAUUAUUGGGCGUAAAGAGCUCGUAGGCGGUUUGUCGCGUCUGCUGUGAAAACUGGAGGCUCAACCUCCAGCCUGCAGUGGGUACGGGCAAACUAGAGUGCGGUAGGGGAGAUUGGAAUUCCUGGUGUAGCGGUGGAAUGCGCAGAUAUCAGGAGGAACACCGAUGGCGAAGGCAGAUCUCUGGGCCGUAACUGACGCUGAGGAGCGAAAGCAUGGGGAGCGAACAGGAUUAGAUACCCUGGUAGUCCAUGCCGUAAACGUUGGGCGCUAGAUGUGGGGACCAUUCCACGGUUUCCGUGUCGCAGCUAACGCACUAAGCACCCCGCCUGGGGAGUACGGCCGCAAGGCUA
rnacentral:rRNA from 1 species